UACAGAGGGUGCAAGCGUUAUUCGGAAUCACUGGGCGUAAAGAGUUCGUAGGCGGUUAAUUAAGUCGAAUGUGAAAGCCCUGGGCUCAAUCCAGGAAGUGCAUUCGAUACUGGUUAACUGGAGUGCAGGAGAGGAAAGCGGAAUUCCAGGUGUAGAGGUGAAAUUCGUAGAUAUCUGGAGGAACAACAGAAGCGAAGGCGGCUUUCUGGACUGUCACUGACGCUGAGGAACGAAAGCGUGGGGAGCAAACAGG
rnacentral:rRNA from 1 species